rnacentral:rRNA from 1 species
AUGAACGCUGGCGGCGUGCUUAACACAUGCAAGUCGAACGGUGAAGGCGGAGCUUGCUCUGCUGGAUCAGUGGCGAACGGGUGAGUAACACGUGAGCAAUCUGCCCCUGACUCUGGGAUAAGCGCUGGAAACGGCGUCUAAUACUGGAUACGAGCUGCGAAGGCAUCUUCAGCAGCUGGAAAGAACUUCGGUCAGGGAUGAGCUCGCGGCCUAUCAGCUUGUUGGUGAGGUAACGGCUCACCAAGGCGUCGACGGGUAGCCGGCCUGAGAGGGUGACCGGCCACACUGGGACUGAGACACGGCCCAGACUCCUACGGGAGGCAGCAGUGGGGAAUAUUGCACAAUGGGCGAAAGCCUGAUGCAGCAACGCCGCGUGAGGGACGACGGCCUUCGGGUUGUAAACCUCUUUUAGCAGGGAAGAAGCGAAAGUGACGGUACCUGCAGAAAAAGCGCCGGCUAACUGCGUG